rnacentral:rRNA from 1 species
CCUACGGGAGGCAGCAGUGAGGAAUAUUGGUCAAUGGGCGAGAGCCUGAACCAGCCAAGUAGCGUGAAGGAUGACAGCCCUACGGGUUGUAAACUUCUUUUAUAAAGGAAUAAAGUGAGGCACGUGUGCCUUUUUGUAUGUACUUUAUGAACAAGGAUCGGCUAACUCCGUGCCAGCAGCCGCGGUAAUACGGAGGAUCCGAGCGUUAUCCGGAUUUAUUGGGUUUAAAGGGAGCGUAGAUGGGUUGUUAAGUCAGUUGUGAAAGGUUGCGGCUCAACCGUAAAAUUGCAAUUGAUACUGGCAGCCUUGAGUACAGUUGAGGUCGGCGGAAUUCGUGGUGUAGCGGUGACAUGCUUAGAUAUCACGCAGAACUCCGAUUGCGAAGGCAGCUUACUAGACUGCAACUGACAUUGAUGCUCGAAAGUGUGGGUAUCAAACAGGAUUAGAUACCCGAGUAGUC